UACGUAGGGUGCGAGCGUUGUCCGGAAUUACUGGGCGUAAAGCGCGCGCAGGCGGUUCGUUAAGUCCGGUGUGAAAGCUCCCGGCUCAACUGGGAGAGGUCAUUGGAUACUGGCGGACUUGAGGGAUGCAGAGGAAGGUGGAAUUCCCGGUGUAGUGGUGAAAUGCGUAGAGAUCGGGAGGAACACCAGUGGCGAAGGCGGCCUUCUGGGCAUUUCCUGACGCUGAGGCGGCGAAAGCGUGGGGAGCGAACCGG
rnacentral:rRNA from 1 species